CAAGGAAACAGGGUAAUAAUUCUUUCAAUGUUUGAAGAACUUCAUGUGAGGUUUAUAAGAGUUAUUAGUCUUUAUAAGAGUUUCCUAAUGUUCCUUGAUAUCUAGCCAUGUUUGUGAAUUGUGAGGGGAUUCACACUUCACAGAAAUUUAUAGUCCAUGUCAUAUUUUUACUGAAACCCAAUUAACCCAUCAGGGACAAAACAGAUCAUUACUAUUUUUCAGAAUGCAUGGAAAUGCUUCAAACUUUGUGUUCUAACUUUGUGUUUCAUUUACAUGAAAUAGCAAACAUAAACUACAGGGAAAAUAACUAUGGCCAUUAACUUCAACUUAGUUAAUUUCAACCAUUAAACUUCAACUUACCUGGAAGUGAUCGAUCGUCGGAAGAAUGGAGAUGGUCGGAAGCCCAGAGCAACUAAUUAACAACAGACUAGCCGCUGGUCGUCGCUCGCCGGUCGGAAGCCGCUGGUCGUCUAUAGGUUGCUCGUCAGAAAUCGAAUUAACAAUCGCCGGAGAUGGGAGUGGGUGAAAAAGAAGAUCGCCG
rnacentral:lncRNA from 1 species